CCUGUUGUGUACCACCAAGGCUCCGCGGCUGCGCUCAGAGUGGCCUCCUACUUUCCAUUCCUGUACUCUGCUUUGAGCGUUUUUGGGGUUGUUCCGACUCCGAUCAGAGAUUCCGUGUAUGAUUAUGUUGUGAAACACCGCUAUGACUGGUUCAGGAAGGAGAAUGAUUGUUUGGUUUUGCAAGAGAAGGAAAUGCUCGACCGAUUCAUCGACAGAGAAGAAAUCAUGGGUCGGGAAGUAUCGGAUUCGUAGUGAGUUCUCAGAACCAAAUCGGCUUUGUCUUCUUCUCUCUUGUGACUCACUCUUUUGAUCUUAAGGGAACGCAAAAAAAGAAAAGAAAGAAAAACGACUCCAGCUCUUCCUUGGUGACACAAUCUUGAUUAAGGUUUGGUUUAUUCUUUUUUCUUUUUUCU